UUUGCCUCUAUCUAAAACCAUCAAACUUUGUGGUUUCUUCAUCUUUUUUAAGUACAAGUUAACACAAAAUAAGCAAAUAUGAGAUUCAUCCAGUUUGUCUUGGUUACUCUCGUUAUCUUCCAAUCUAUAUCGUUAUUACAAGCUCAGAAUUUCGAUUUCAUCCUCCUUACUCUACAGUGGAAUCCAGCAUGUGGUAACUUUUUGGAAAAAUGCUGCUAUCCAACUACUGGGAAACCAACAGAAGUUUUAGUAUCCGUUGGUUCAAGCCAUAUGACAACAACUUUAUAGAACCAAAAAAUUGUGAUGUGACAGCCCGUUAUAAUGAAAGACAAAUAAGUUUAUCUAUAGCGUCUAGCAAUUUAGUUUUUGAUUUAGUGAAAUUGAAAAGGCAUUAAUUUUAUAUAUUGGUACAGAUCUGGGACUUGAUAAGUAUUAUGCAAAAGCAAUGGCCGUCACUAACUUGUCCAUCAAACAACGGCACGAGGUUAUGGGCUCAUGAAUGAGAAACACAUGGUAUAUGCUCUAAGCUGGACAUACAUUCUUAUUUCCAAGCAGCUCUUAAUCUCAAGGAAAAGCUGAACCUGCUCCAAAUUCUUAUGGAUGCUGGAGUCAAACCAGAUGGAAGUAGUUACAGCCGUGACCAAAUCAUGAAUGCUAUGAAAACAGUCACUGGAAAAAACUUUGGUAUAGAAUGCAAAGAUCAUGAAAUUUGGGACAGAAAGCUUUCCAAGGUUCACAUCUGUGUUGAUAAAUCUGGCACAGACCUCAUUGACUGCCCAGGUUUUGGCACCACAGUUGUUCGGAAUACUUGUCCUCCUAAUAUUAAAUGGUUUGGCUACGGAUCAUAAAAUGACCUCGAUGAGAGGGAUCCGCCUAUUCUCUUUAGAGAGACUCUUCUUGGCAGGGAAAAUCAUUCUUCGCAAUAGUCAUGACCACUUUCAUCAUGAAAUAAGGAAACUUGUUGUCAUUAAUUUUAUGCUUUUAUUGUUGUGAUGCUUACAAGUUCAAAGUUCAAGUUUGCGAUUGUUAGAAUUUAUGGACUUGCAUAUAUAUUG